UACGAAGGGGACUAGCGUUGUUCGGAAUUACUGGGCGUAAAGCGCACGUAGGCGGAUUUGUUAGUCAGGGGUGAAAUCCCGGGGCUCAACCUCGGAACUGCCUUUGAUACUGCAAGUCUCGAGUCCGAUAGAGGUGGGUGGAAUUCCUAGAGUAGAGGUGAAAUUCGUAGAUAUUAGGAAGAACACCGGUGGCGAAGGCGGCCCACUGGAUCGGUACUGACGCUCAUGCACGAAAGCGUGGGGAGCAAACAGG
rnacentral:rRNA from 1 species